GGUAGUUCAGAUUUCAGAUAUGCAAUUGAGAGGAACGUAACCGAUAACUGAAAAUAUAUUUUAUUUGUCGACUGAGAAGCACAGGGGAAAGGGAGUGAUUGAAAGGGCUGUCUGCUAGUGUGUUGUAUCAGUGUGACAUCUACACGGCUUGACAUUAAUAACAAUUAAGAUGACUCGGAUACAGAAGCCGCAGCGAUGACUCAACCUCCUCGCUCGUGUUUUCCCCGAGCCUGCAGCGACGACGAUCAGCUCCCAUUGUAAAAAUGUUCCCCGAGCGGCCAGGAACAACGCCGUCAAGUGACGCGGGAGAUGCAGCAGCCGAGUGUAAAUAAUAUAACUGUAAAAUGGAGUGGGUUUUCCUCAAGAAUUUUAUUGAUUUA